UACGAGGGGUCCAAGCGUUGUUCGGAAUCACUGGGCGUAAAGCGGGUGUAGGUGGCUUUGUAAGUCACAUGUGAAAGCCCCGGGCUCAACCCGGGAAGUGCAUGUGAUACUGCAAAGCUUGAGUAAGGGAGAGGAUGGCAGAAUUCCAGGUGUAGUGGUGAAAUACGUAGAUAUCUGGAGGAACUCCGGUGGCGAAGGCGGCAUCUGGCCCAUUACUGACACUCAGACCCGAAAGCCGU
rnacentral:rRNA from 1 species